UUCCAGAACACUGUUCCUGUGUUCUGAGUGUUUGUCCCUCACAUAGGAUUCCAAAACACUGCUACUGGGUUCUGAGUGUUUGUCCCUCAAAUAGGAUUCCAGAACACUGUUAUGAGCUUGUGAAUGUUUUUCCCAACCAAAGGAUACCGGAACACUGCUGCUAGGUUGUGAGUGUUUGUUCCUCAAAAAGGAUUCCAGAACACUGCUACGAGAGUCUGAAUGUUUUUCCCUCACA
rnacentral:lncRNA from 1 species